UUCUUUUUCCACCGGAGCUUGCUCCACCGGAAAAAGAGGAGUGGCGAACGGGUGAGUAACACGUGGGUAACCUGCCCAUCAGAAGGGGAUAACACUUGGAAACAGGUGCUAAUACCGUAUAACAAUCGAAACCGCAUGGUUUUGAUUUGAAAGGCGCUUUCGGGUGUCGCUGAUGGAUGGACCCGCGGUGCAUUAGCUAGUUGGUGAGGUAACGGCUCACCAAGGCGACGAUGCAUAGCCGACCUGAGAGGGUGAUCGGCCACAUUGGGACUGAGACACGGCCCAAACUCCUACGGGAGGCAGCAGUAGGGAAUCUUCGGCAAUGGACGAAAGUCUGACCGAGCAACGCCGCGUGAGUGAAGAAGGUUUUCGGAUCGUAAAACUCUGUUGUUAGAGAAGAACAAGGAUGAGAGUAACUGUUCAUCCCUUGACGGUAUCUAACCAGAAAGCCACGGCUAACUACGUGCCAGCAGCCGCGGUAAUACGUAGGUGGCAAGCGUUGUCCGGAUUUAUUGGGCGUAAAGCGAGCGCAGGCGGUUUCUUAAGUCUGAUGUGAAAGCCCCCGGCUCAACCGGGGAGGGUCAUUGGAAACUGGGAGACUUGAGUGCAGAAGAGGAGAGUGGAAUUCCAUGUGUAGCGGUGAAAUGCGUAGAUAUAUGGAGGAACACCAGUGGCGAAGGCGGCUCUCUGGUCUGUAACUGACGCUGAGGCUCGAAAGCGUGGGGGAGCAAACAGGAUUAGAUACCCUGGUAGUCCACGCCGUAAACGAUGAGUGCUAAGUGUUGGAGGGUUUCCGCCCUUCAGUGCUGCAGCUAACGCAUUAAGCACUCCGCCUGGGGAGUACGACCGCAAGGUUGAAACUCAAAGGAAUUGACGGGGCCC
rnacentral:rRNA from 1 species